rnacentral:rRNA from 1 species
UACAGAGGCCUCGAGCGCUAGGCGGAAUCACUGGGCUUAAAGCGUGUGUAGGCGGCCAAUCAAGUCGGGUGUGAAAGCCCUCAGCUUAACUGAGGAAGUGCGCCCGAAACUGUUUGGCUUGAGUACCGGAGAGGAUGGCGGAAUUCCCCAAGUAGAGGUGAAAUUCGUAGAUAUGGGGAGGAACACCGGUGGCGAAGGCGGCCAUCUGGACGGAUACUGACGCUGAGACGCGAAAGCGUGGGUAGCAAACAGG